CGAGUGGCGGACGGGUGAGUAAUGUCUGGGAAACUGCCUGAUGGAGGGGGAUAACUACUGGAAACGGUGGCUAAUACCGCAUAACGUCGCAAGACCAAAGAGGGGGACCUUCGGGCCUCUUGCCAUCAGAUGUGCCCAGAUGGGAUUAGCUAGUUGGUGAGGUAACGGCUCACCAAGGCGACGAUCCCUAGCUGGUCUGAGAGGAUGACCAGCCACACUGGAACUGAGACACGGUCCAGACUCCUACGGGAGGCAGCAGUGGGGAAUAUUGCACAAUGGGCGCAAGCCUGAUGCAGCCAUGCCGCGUGUAUGAAGAAGGCCUUCGGGUUGUAAAGUACUUUCAGCGGGGAGGAAGGUGUUGUGGUUAAUAACCGCAGCAAUUGACGUUACCCGCAGAAGAAGCACCGGCUAACUCCGUGCCAGCAGCCGCGGUAAUACGGAGGGUGCAAGCGUUAAUCGGAA
rnacentral:rRNA from 1 species